rnacentral:rRNA from 1 species
AGUGAACGCUGGCGGUAGGCCUAACACAUGCAAGUCGAACGACAGCACAGUAAGAGCUUGCUCUUACGGGUGGCGAGUGGCGGACGGGUGAGGAAUACAUCGGAAUCUACUUUUUCGUGGGGGAUAACGUAGGGAAACUUACGCUAAUACCGCAUACGAACUACGGGAGAAAGCAGGGGAUCUUCGCACCUUGCGCGAGUGAAUGAGCCGAUGUCGGAUUAGCUAGUUGGCGGGGCAAAGGCCCACCAUGGCGACGAUCCUUAGCUGGUCUGAGAGGAUGAUCAGCCACCCUGGAACUGAGACACGGUCCAGACUCCUACGGUGGGCCGCAGUGGGGAAUAUUGGACAAUGGACGCAAGCCUGAUCCAGCCCUACCGCGUGGGUGAAGAAGGCCUUCGGGUUGUAGAGCCCUUUUGUUGGGAAAGAAAAGCAGCAGGUUAAUACCCCGCUGUUCUGACGGUACCCAAAGAAUAAGCACCGGCUAACUUCGUG